UACCAGCACCCCGAGUGGUCGGGACGAUUAUUGGGCCUAAAGCAUCCGUAGCUUGUUCUGCAAGUCCUCCGUUAAAUCCACCUGCUCAACAGAUGGGCUGCGGGGGAUACUACAGGGCUAGGAGGCGGGAGAGGCAAACGGUACUCAGUGGGUAGGGGUAAAAUCCUCUGAUCCAUAGAAGACCACCAGUGGCGAAGGCGGCUUGCCAGAACGCGAUCGACGGUGAGGGAUGAAAGCUGGGGGAGCAAACCGG
rnacentral:rRNA from 1 species